rnacentral:rRNA from 1 species
UGCGUAGGCGGAAUAUUAAGUCAGUGGUGAAAUCCUGCGGCUCAACCGUAGAACUGCCAUUGAUACUGAUAUUCUUGAAUGUAGUUGAGGUAGGCGGAAUGUGUAAUGUAGCGGUGAAAUGCUUAGAUAUUGCACAGAACACCGAUUGCGAAGGCAGCUUACUAAACUAUGAUUGACGCUGAGGCACGAAAGCGUGGGGAGCGAACAGGAUUAGAUACCCUGGUAGUC